rnacentral:lncRNA from 1 species
GAUUAUCUCCCCGACAAUAGGGAUUUGGGUUGGUGAGUUUGUGAGGGCGAAACCUACGGGCUAGCCAUGAGAUUGGGUAAUGAGAAGUUAAUCUUGCAUUCAUCAUGAGCAUUGUAUUGAGCAUCGCAUAUUAUAUUGUUCAGGCAUAUUAGCUGCAUUUGUUAGUUGGCUACUUACUUUCCUUUAUUCUAUUAUGCCUAAUUAGACCUAGUGGGAUAGUCGGCGUGGUUGGUUGCCG